rnacentral:rRNA from 1 species
AACGAACGCUGGCGGCAGGCCUAACACAUGCAAGUCGAACGCCCUAGCAAUAGGGAGUGGCAGACGGGUGAGUAACGCGUGGGAACGUGCCUUUCGGUUCGGAAUAACCCAGGGAAACUUGAGCUAAUACCGGAUACGCCCUUCGGGGGAAAGAUUUAUUGCCGAAAGAUCGGCCCGCGUCCGAUUAGCUAGUUGGUGAGGUAAAGGCUCACCAAGGCGACGAUCGGUAGCUGGUCUGAGAGGAUGAUCAGCCACACUGGGACUGAGACACGGCCCAGACUCCUACGGGAGGCAGCAGUGGGGAAUAUUGGACAAUGGGCGCAAGCCUGAUCCAGCCAUGCCGCGUGAGUGAUGAAGGCCCUAGGGUUGUAAAGCUCUUUCGCCAGGGACGAUAAUGACGGUACCUGGAUAAGAAGCCCCGGCUAACUUCGUGCCAGCAGCCGCCGCAG